AAAAACCAAGGCCAGAGUGCAGGGUGAGUGCUGCAUGCCAUAAAACCUUCAACAAAAUGCUUCACACAAAGGAGACCAAAAAUGUAGUGAUGCCUGAUUCUGGCAUGAGUUACUCCGUACACUGCAAAAUGUUUUAAGAGAUGCAAAUUGAUUUACAGGAGCUAUAUAACUCUGAUUAUGUACCAAAUUUAUUAAAUAUACCAAAGCACCAAGAAGCAGGAAAAAAACAAUGAUGUAUGGCUGAAACUGCAGGGAAAUCAUGGUAUCAGAGAUUCUUCAGAGACAAGAACAGUUAUGACUACCUCAACCAGAGGAAAAGCUUCAGUGAGAAGAUAUGCAUUAUUGACACUGGAGUAACUGUACAGGAAGGAGCUCUUGCCUGAAAAAUUGAUUCUCUGGUGUCUUCUCCUUGUUCUCCUGCUUCUUAAUCAGGGAAAUGACAUGUGGUAGCUGUGAUAGUCUAAUUACUGGAAUAAAUUCAGGAUGAAGCUGUUACUCCAUGCUGCAACUCGCAGCCUAUGUCAGACUCUGUGGCAGCCUACAUGGUAGACUCCAAAUCAUAGGAAAUUUCAGGCAGCUGCAUGUGCAUCCAUGUCUUUUCACUACAUGCUUCACUAAGGUAGCAGAGUGCUUAGACUAAAGUAGCAGGGCAAGGCACAGCUUAGUGAUUUGAGCUUUAAGCAGACAGCUUUCUCCUGAUGCAUGGAGAGGAAAAGAAAUUUAACAAGGAUCAAGUCUGAGAGUAGAAUAUAGUGUGGCAUCGUGAACAAUUGCUUUUGAAGCUACACCACUAUAAAAUGUUACCAAUAGCAUAUGUGCAUGCAGGAUAUAAAUGUGGUGUGUAAGAAUGCCGUAUUAUGACUCUCCAAUAAAUUAAGUUCUAGGAAUUCAUCUGUAAUAACUACUUAUUUAUGUGUACAUUUAGCUGGACUUACUGCUACUGAUACACAUAAAAUGAGUUCAGCCUCCAGAUAAGCAGUUUUAUAGGCGUGGGCUUGAGGUUUUUCCUUUGAUCUGAUGCAAAAUAAAGAGAGGAUCUCUAACAUAAGGAAGGAAAUCACUUUAUAUAUCACAUUGUAGAAAUUUGCAUUCCUGUCUCCAGUGGCAUAUUCAAGAGCUAAAAUCAGUUGCAAUUCAGUACUUAACAGAAUAAAUCCUCUCUGUUGUAAUGGUAAGUACUUACUCCACAUUAAUCAGAAGGAAAAGAAAAAAGAAAUAAAAAUAAAGUGGAUACAUAGAAGCUGAAGAGAGAAUUAUCUUCCGUACGUGCAUCCCCCUCAUUUUCCUUUGUGGGAUCAGUAUUAUUUUUGCAUCAGUGUAAAAAUCAACAAGGCAUGAUUAAUCUUUUCCCCAGAUUUGUUAUAGUAUUGUAUUUGUUCUGGAAUUUUGUGUUCUACCCUCAGAGUUCAUUAGUUGCCUUCUCCUUUGACGCCAGAAUUCUGUGCUUUGAGUUUCUACUGAAAUCUGUAUAAUAGAAUUUACUGAAAUGCAAUUACUAGGUUCUUGGUUUCAUAGACCAAGACUGGCACCUUCUGGUGAACCAAUUUAAAUUCACUGCAGAAAUAAAAUAUCCUCAAC
ensembl:lncRNA